UCCUGUCCUAUAUGCUUUCUCUUCAUUUUGAGAUCCAUCUGGUUACUCAUGCUGAUCCAUCUGAUCUGAGCCUUUUCUCUGAACAACUUCCAUAGGACAGUUCAGGACCUGCAGAGUUGUUGGGUUUUUUUGGCAUUAUCCUGGACUUGAAGAGCUUGCUUUUCUCCCAAAUUUCUG
rnacentral:lncRNA from 12 species